AGGGAAUCUUCGGCAAUGGACGAAAGUCUGACCGAGCAACGCCGCGUGAGUGAAGAAGGUUUUCGGAUCGUAAAACUCUGUUGUUAGAGAAGAACAAGGACGUUAGUAACUGAACGUCCCCUGACGGUAUCUAACCAGAAAGCCACGGCUAACUACGUGCCAGCAGCCGCGGUAAUACGUAGGUGGCAAGCGUUGUCCGGAUUUAUUGGGCGUAAAGCGAGCGCAGGCGGUUUCUUAAGUCUGAUGUGAAAGCCCCCGGCUCAACCGGGGAGGGUCAUUGGAAACUGGGAGACUUGAGUGCAGAAGAGGAGAGUGGAAUUCCAUGUGUAGCGGUGAAAUGCGUAGAUAUAUGGAGGAACACCAGUGGCGAAGGCGGCUCUCUGGUCUGUAACUGACGCUGAGGCUCGAAAGCGUGGGGAGCAAAC
rnacentral:rRNA from 1 species